rnacentral:rRNA from 1 species
AUACGGAGGAUGCAAGCGUUCUCCGGAUUUAUUGGGGUUAAAGGGUGCGUAGGCGGGUGAUUAAGCGUGAGGUGAAAUGCCACUGCUCAACAGUGGAACUGCCUCGCGAACUGGUUGUCUUGAAUGCUCCUGCCGUGGGAGGAAUGUGUGGUGUAGCGGUGAAAUGCAUAGAGAUCACACAGAACACCGAUUGCGAAGGCAUCUCACGAAGGGGUGAUUGACGCUGAGGCACGAAAGCGUGGGGAUCAAACAGGAUUAGAUACCCUGGUAGUCCACGCAGUAAACGAUGAUAACUAACCGCUGGGUCGUAGUGAUUCAGUGGCCAAGCGAAAGCGAUAAGUUAUCCACCUGGGGAGUACGGCCGCAAGGUUGAAACUCAAAUGAAUUGGCGGGG